AUUCUCUUUCCCUCCUUUCCCUCCAGGGUGCCCAUGUGUCCUUAAGUUUUAAAUUCAGUUUUCAAUGGUCUUAAAAAAUGUGCCCGGAGAUGACUUCAGUGUUUCCGCUAUGUUGUGCAGCUGCUUAAUUGUUGCCACCGUGGCAAAAUCUGUUAAAAUUACAAAUAAAAUAAAAAAAACAUCAAAUGAUAGCCUACUCCUACUGAGGCGCAUUUUCAAGAUACCUGAGAACUCCACAUGAAGCCUAAGACUCUGUGUGCGUGUGAUGUGCGUGUGCCACUGCAAGUCGGACAUUGCCAGAUGAAUGAGCACAGGAAGUAAGAUAGGCUACAAAAUAGAUAGCCAAUUUGAAGCAUUGCUUGUAGCUUGGCUAGUUAGUGCACUCGUUAGCUAGCUAGUUAACUAUUUAGCUAUUAAAUGAUUUGUUCAAACAGUAAAGUGCAUUAUCUUCAUAAUCAGCUUUGUGCAGGUAUAUUUUUUAUUUCUCAGCUGUCUAUUUUACAACCCAGAUAUUGAUACACUCUAAAACUUAAGGAUUCAACUAGGGUUCUUCUAAGAUCCUCAAAGUUCUUUGAAGAACCUUAAGGUUCUUGGCACUGAAAAUUGCCCCCAAAAGGUCCUUCCAAGAACCCCAUAGGAGCUGGGGUUCAUCGAGGAACCUCCUUAGCUGGUGGGGGUUCUUGCAGGAACCUAACUGCCCAACUGAAACAUUUGGAUUUGAAUUUGAAAGGACAGCAGGCGCAGGCACUUAACUGAAACAUUUAAAGAUCUCUUCAAUUUAAGGUAUACAGACGAGGAGACAUACAAAGUUAUGCCAAUUGAUAUUGGUAUGUUAUGCAGAUCAGAUUUACCAUCCUCCUCCCUUCCCUCUUCAAUAAAUAUCCCAUAGGCCCAUAGGCCUCUACAUUAUGGACAAGACUUCAUCCUCCCUACACCUCUGAUGAAUGUAACAGGAAACCUGUUCAAUCAUGCACUGCAAAAUCGUUCUGACUAUGAAUACGGAGAACAUCAACACAUUAAAACAUCAACAGCCAGAGGAUAUACCCAUUAGACUUGGGGCUCUGCUGGGAGUUUACCUCAUGUUUGGAUUUUUGUAUUCUGCUUUGCCACUAAAAUCUAAAUAAAC
rnacentral:lncRNA from 1 species